UUAUGAACAUUCUCGUAUCGUCUUCACGCCCAGCAAAGUUUAUUAUGCUUUUUCCACCUUCAAUUCGACUGGGCAAAUGAUGUUGCUGGGCCAAAGCAUAUUCGUUCAAAGGUAUCUUGGAGACUUGACUUAAUUCAAGACUCUACAUCGCAAGUUGUUACGACAUUUAAAGAUGAAUCUGAUCAUUAAAUUGAAGUAAAAUGUAUGCAAAACAUUUUUAACAAUUUACUUUUCUCUUUUAUUCUAUAGAUAACCAUUUGGAUAGCACGGAGCCACGGAAUCGGUGAACUGGAAUGUCUCUUAUGCUUUGAUAAUAGAUCAAAAGCCAACACAGUCCAUCUACUACAAGAGUAUUGGAAUUCGUUGAUGAUUUAUGUGAAGAAAUUAACCGGAAUACAUAUGUUAUUGCAAAAAUAUGCAAAGGUAAGCUUCUUUCUUAUAUUUAUUUCUAUUAGUCUUUAUUCUCCUUUUAUCUUUAUUAUGAUGAGACCUUAACAUAAUUGAUGUACCGCUCCAGGCUGAAUCAAUUUGAUUGAUAUCAAUGUUAUACUGAAAAUUAAUUGUAUGGCAAAUCUCUCCAUCCAUUCGCUGUUGAAAAUGUGUCUAAUAGAUGUUUUGGUUCUGUUUAUUUCCAGUUCGAUAUCGUUCGCAUCUCGCAUUAGCUGCUGUAUUUGGGGAUAAACUGAACAACGCCUUAGAAUAUUUGGCGUGGUUGGCCAGUAUUCGCGAUUUGAUGGUGGUACAGUAAAUAUUGGACGACCUAACGCAGAGCAAUGCUAAGAAGAACUACGAAACCCAUUUUUUUGGGGAUUGAAAUUCAAUUCUCAUGAAAAAGUGUGCACUCAGGCAACCUACUGGUUUAUCAAAGCAUGUUCGAAGGACCGAAUCCAAAUGACGGUUGAAACGCGAUGAUUACACAUUUUCUAUUGCUGCUGUUUAUCAUUUAAACCGACCCCUUCGUGCAUGUUGCUGGCUGAACAAUAAUGUUUAUCAAACCCCAUGGUUCAACAUCGAACACGGUUCAUUCAAAAGACGGUGGAAACACAAUGCGUGACACCUUGCUUAGACGCCGUGUAUGGUCUAAGUUGGUAUGCUGAUUGCAGGAAAAUGCGCUAUUACGUACAUUACAAAGAAUGGUCCGAAUGUCUGCAGGUCGCCAAGAUGCAAUACCAUGGAAGUUGUAAAACAACAUCACAUUUCAUACGAUACUGGCAACAAUUGGUGUGAAAUACCGAACUAAAGUGGAAUUUUGGUAUGCGUUUUGUUGAAGGUGAUGCAGUGAAGAUGCCAUCCAAUACACAAGACGCAUGGUAUUCGGGAGUACUGCAUAAUUCCAAGAGUUUAUAUCAGUGAUACUUACCUGUUAUUCAUCAGUUCAACGACGCUGCUAAACGACCAAAGUUCUUCAUAAUCGCACGAAAGCACUAGACGCAGUUAGGGUGGUACAUCUGGGAGUGUGCGGGUUACUUGGAAGAUUUGAUAUUGGUUUAAAUAAAUCACUGCAUGAUUCUCUGUCUUCCGAUAUUGUACAAGUGAAAUGUCAAAUGUUGGGAUGAAGGUACCAUAACUGCAACGGAAGUUGCGAUCGUGAUUGAUCGUGUAUCGGUUAUUGGAAAUCAUCUGCUUCAUUUUUAAAGGGUCAAACGCGCAGGGUUCCGAAAGGCAAAAGGGGAGCAUCUAACAACAAGUGUUUGUGAAAGAUAUUAAUGUGCCGUGAUAAUGUGGUAAUAGUGACAGUUCGAAGACAGUUUCUAAAUGUGAAGGUACUAUCAGGUAAGUAUGUAAUGUGUUGUUCUUUGUUCUCUUUGCUCAACUCAUCUGAUUCAGUUAUCGCACAUUCUGCUGAACUCUCUGUGGCGUGUGAAGUGAGAAUGUUUCACCGGCAAUACGUUACAGGGAGAUCAGCAAGCAUGCACACAGUAUCAGAUCUGUUGACCAACAUGGUCUUAAAUAUGUAUGAUGAAAAAAGUCAAUAAAACUAUUUUACCUCAAAGAAAUCACUAAAUCAUGCUUGUGUGAAUCG